CCUACGGGAGGCAGCAGUGAGGAAUAUUGGUCAAUGGCCGGAAGGCUGAACCAGCCAAGUCGCGUGAGGGAAUAAGGCCCUAUGGGUCGUAAACCUCUUUUGUCAGGGAGCAAAGGCGUCCACGUGUGGACGAGAGGAGAGUACCUGAAGAAAAAGCAUCGGCUAACUCCGUGCCAGCAGCCGCGGUAAUACGUAGGUGGCAAGCGUUAUCCGGAUUUACUGGGUGUAAAGGGCGUGUAGGCGGGACUGCAAGUCAGAUGUGAAAACCACGGGCUCAACCUGUGGCCUGCAUUUGAAACUGUAGUUCUUGAGUACUGGAGAGGCAGACGGAAUUCCUAGUGUAGCGGUGAAAUGCGUAGAUAUUAGGAGGAACACCAGUGGCGAAGGCGGUCUGCUGGACAGCAACUGACGCUGAGGCGCGAAAGCGUGGGGAGCAAACAGGAGUAGAUACCCUUGUAGUC
rnacentral:rRNA from 1 species